CCUGAGACUAGAGUCACAUCUUGACAGCUGUGGUCCUGGUGUGCUGGAGCUCUCGCAGAGAAUCUGCUGGUUUUGUUCACUGGCAAGGGCAGUAAGGGCCCCGGUAGUGCCCAGAUCAGAAACAUAG